CUCAUAUAUUACUAGAGUUGACUAUGACAUUUGGAACAAUCAAAACAUCACACAAUUUCUCUCUUGUGGGAGUUCUCUGAUGACUAACAAGGUGUACAUGCAGACUAAAACAUUUCCCACAUUCAGAAAAAGAGAAAGGUUUCUCUCCUGUGUGAAUUAGUUGAUGUAUAACAAGCUCUCCUUUACGGGCAAAAUAUUUUUAACAUUCAGAUUCAAUAUGUGCAAUAACUCUCACACUAACCAAACAUAAACAAACAUUAAAGAAAACAAAAGUUGUGCAUGGAAGGCACAUUUUCAAAUUUAACAUUAAUAUCAAAGGGGAGGAAAGUAAAGAGGGGCUCUGUAGAGUUAACACAAUCGCAAUACCAAUGCAUCAUUUAUACAUUGCUACUAUCACAGGUAUUUUUUCUUGUGUCAGCAUUAAAGCAAUUCACAAUAUUAGUUGUUUAAUUCUGAUGUUAAUUCAUAAACACAUUAUAAAAUCUCUACCGUGUGAGUUAUCUGAUGCUUAACAAACUCUGGUUUACUGACAAAACUAUUUCUCCAUUCUGUACAUGAGAGAUGUUUCUCUCCUGUGUGAGAUUAUUGAUGUUUAACAAGCUGAGCGUACUGGCUAAAACAUUUCUCACAUUCAGCACAUGAGAAAGGUUUCUCUCCUGUGUGAGUUAUCUAGUGUACAACUAGAGAAGAGUUAAAGCUAAAACAUUUCUCACAUUCAGCACAUGAGAAAGGUUUCUCUCCUGUGUUGAGUUCUCUGGUGUACAACUAGAGCUGAGCUUUUGUUGAAACAUUUCCCACAUUCAACACAUGAGAAAGGUUUCUCUCCUGUGUGAGUUCUCUGGUGUACAACUAGAGUAGAGUUACUGCUAAAACGUUUCCCACAUUCAGCACAUGAGAAAGGUUUCUCUCCUGUGUGAGUUCUCUGGUGUACAACUAGAGCUGAGCUAUUGCUGAAACAUUUCCCACAUUCAGCACAUGAGAAAGGUUUCUCUCCUGUGUGAGUUCUCUGGUGUACAACGAGAGUUGAGUUACAGCUAAAACAUUUCCCACAUUCAGCACAUGAGAAAGGUUUCUCUCCUGUGUGAGUUCUCUGGUGUACAACUAGAGCUGAAUUACAGCUAAAACAUUUCCCACAUUCAAAACAUGAGAGAUGUUUCUCUCCGGUGUGAGAUAAUUGAUGUUUAACAAGCUGAGAGUACUGGCUAAAACAUUUCUCACAUUCAGCACAUGAGAAAGGUUUCUCUCCUGUGUGAGUUCUCUGGUGUACAACUAGAGAAGAGUUACGGCUAAAACGUUUCUCACAUUCAGCACAUGAGAAAGGUUUCUCUCCUGUGUGAGUUCUCUGGUGUACGACUAGAGCUGAGGUGUUGUUGAAACAUUUCCCGCAUUCAGCACAUGAGAAAGGUUUCUCUCCUGUGUGAGUUCUCUGGUGUACAACUAGAGUAGAGUUACUGCUUAAACAUUUCCCACAUUCAGCACAUGAGAAAGGUUUCUCUCCUGUGUGAGUUCUCUGGUGUACAACUAGAGCUGAGUUACUGCUGAAACAUUUCCCACAUUCAGCACAUGAGAAAGGUUUCUCUCCUGUGUGAGUUUUCUGGUGUACAACUAGAGUUGAGUUACAGCUAAAACAUUUCCCACAUUCAGCACAUGAGAAAGGUUUCUCUCCUGUGUGAGUUCUCUGGUGUACAACUAGAGCUGAGUUACAGCUAAAACAUUUCCCACAUUCUACACAUGAGAGAGAUUUCUCUCCAGUGUGAGAUAAUUGAUGUUUAACAAGCUGAGAGUACUGGCUAAAACAUUUCUCACAUUCAGCACAUGAGAAAGGUUUCUCUCCUGUGUGAGUUCUCUGGUGUGCUACUAGAGUUGAAUGCCUGUUAAAACAUUUUCCACAUUCAGAACAUGAGAAAGGUUUCUCUCCUGUGUGAGUUCUCUGGUGUUGAACUAGAACUGAGCGAUCGCUAAAACAUUUACCACAUUCAGAACAUGAGAAAGGUUUCUCUCCUGUGUGAAUUCUCUGGUGUGCAACUAAAGCUGAGCUAUUGCUGAAACAUUUUCCACAUUCAGAACACGAGAAAGGUUUCUCACCUGUGUGAGUUCUCUGGUGUACAACUAGAGCCGAGUUACAGCUAAAACAUUUCCCACAUUCAGAACAUACAAACGGUUUCUCUCCUGUGUGAGUUCUCUGAUGUAUUACAAUUUCUGACUGCCAGCGAAAACAUUUUCCGCAUACAGAACAUGAUAAAGGUUUUGUGUUCAUGUUUACUAUUUCCUUUGUAGACAUAUACGAGAGAUUGCUUGAGGUUGGAGAGUUAGAAUCCUUGGUCCUUUUAUUAAAAGAUUUCUUCAUAAUCUUGCUUAGUAUAUUUCUGUUGGUGUCCUGUCCUUUAGAAAAAACUUCUGCUGCUGGAAAUAUCUGAAACUAAAUGUACUGGGAGUUACAGAAAAUCUGUCUAUAAAUGAUUUAUCGUUUAC